rnacentral:rRNA from 1 species
AUUGAACGCUGGCGGCAGGCCUAACACAUGCAAGUCGAAUGGUAACAGGAAACAGCUUGCUGUUUCGCUGACGAGUGGCGGACGGGUGAGUAAUGUCUGGGAAACUGCCUGAUGGAGGGGGAUAACUACUGGAAACGGUAGCUAAUACCGCAUAACGUCGCAAGACCAAAGAGGGGGACCUUCGGGCCUCUUGCCAUCAGAUGUGCCCAGAUGGGAUUAGCUAGUAGGUGGGGUAACGGCUCACCUAGGCGACGAUCCCUAGCUGGUCUGAGAGGAUGACCAGCCACACUGGAACUGAGACACGGUCCAGACUCCUACGGGAGGCAGCAGUGGGGAAUAUUGCACAAUGGGCACAAGCCUGAUGCAGCCAUGCCGCGUGUAUGAAGAAGGCCUUCGGGUUGUAAAGUACUUUCAGCGGGGAGGAAGGGAGUAAAGUUAAUACCUUUGCUCAUUGACGUUACCCGCAGAAGAAGCACCGGCUAACUCCGUG